UCCAGUUUUCAUUCGUGGUCGGCUUUCCGGAUCAUUUGUACACCGGAGUAUUUCUUCAAUGACAGAGUAUGGCACCUGUUUUAAAUCGUGAAAACGGAAACCAAGUUGUAAUGCUGCGAUUAUAUCGUUAGAACCGAGAUAAAUCCUUUUAAGUCAGCUCCUCUCCGGAGAUGUCUUAAUGUCGGACACUAAUGACAUUAGUGUCUCAGUUUGCAGUUACACCUGCACGACACUAAACUUUGAGUUUCACGGAAAGACCGUGUCAGAAACUCCCGCAUCCGCGACAGCCUU